rnacentral:rRNA from 1 species
UACGGAGGGUGACAGCGUUAUCCGGAUCACUGGGUUUAAAGGGUGCGUAGGCGGGCAGGUAAGUCAGUGGUGAAAUCUCCGGGCUUAACCCGGAACUGCCGUUGAUACUAUCUGUCUUGAAUAUCGUGGAGGUAAGCGGAAUAUGUCAUGUAGCGGUGAAAUGCUUAGAUAUGACAUAGAACACCCAUUGCGAAGGCAGCUUACUACACGAUCAUUGACGCUGAGGCACGAAAGCGUGGGGAGCAAACAGG